CGCAACUCACAAAUUUGUUCCUCCGUCAAUCGGGGCUGUCACGAUACACGAAAUUGCCAGUGGCGGUGAGAUGUCUCAACUGAAGCUUCAAAUUAUUGAGAGAUAUAAUUAGGUUUUGUCGAGGGCGGUUGCGUAAAAGAAGAGAAUACGAAAUUGUUGAUCUGUGAAUAUAUGUUUGUGUGUGCAUACGUGUAGGGAGAGAGAG
rnacentral:lncRNA from 1 species